GGGGCCUUAGCUCAGCUGGAGAGCGCUACAAUGGCAUUGUAGAGGCCAGCGGUUCGACUCCGCUAGGCUCCACCA
rnacentral:tRNA from 1 species